UACAGAGGUCUCAAGCGUUUGUUCGGAUUCAUUGGGCGUAAAGGGCGCGUAGGCGGUGGGGUAAGUCUGGUGUGAAAUCUCGGAGCUCAACUUCGAAAUUGCACUGGAUACUGCUCUGCUAGAGGGCUGGAGAGGAGAUCGGAAUUCACGGUGUAGCGGUGAAAUGCGUAGAUAUCGGGAAGAACACCCGUGGCGAAGGCGGCUCUCUGGGACGGUACUGACGCUGAGACGCGAAAGCGUGGGGAGCGAACAGG
rnacentral:rRNA from 1 species